CCCAUGCUAUUUUAUAGCUCACUUAG
rnacentral:tRNA from 1 species